CUCAAAAGUAACAGUAAUGAGGAAACACUAAAGUCUUCACUGAAGGUUGGCUUUUCAGUAACAUCCCCUCAUGUGACACAGCUGUUAGAACAACAGCAACAACUUUUCCAGAAAUGCAGUUUACCUUGGAACUUGGCUGCUGCUGAGGCAGAAAUGUACAAAAAGCAGGCAGUGUAUCUGCCAUAGGCAGACUUCAAAAGCAAAUGCUUUAACAGGUACAAAAAGGGAGAAGGCUUUCUCUAUCCUCCAUCCUCAUGGGCUUGUUUUCUUCGGUGCCUGGAUGCCAUCCUGCCAUGAAUUCACAGGACAAACCUAGACCUUGGGGCUUGCUGU
rnacentral:lncRNA from 1 species